CGGUGCUCGAGCUGUGGUGCGUGCCGCUAAGUUGUGCGUUCCAGGGUGCACUCGCCGGCGAGGCUGCACGGCGCCGGUUUCAUUGCUAAAAUCCGACGGACUUGUUGCAGAACUCGUUUUUUUUGUCGGGAAAGGGCUUCCCCGUGUAACUUUACAGCAGUUAUCGUAGAUAAGACUUGCAAAUUACAGAUGUGGACGGUGAGGGAACGGGAAUUUCACUGAAAGCGCCUGAGAACCAGUAAGAGACCUGCAACAGCUUUGUGCUCCACUGGCGAAUGCUUCCUCCCCUAAUACACAUUAUGUGUGCUUGGAGACACAAGGAGUAAGAUACAGCCCCUCAAGGGACUCGUCAUAGGGAGAGGACACAGCUUUGGGAAUAAAGGGGCCACAAAGGAGGAGAGAGGAGUUUGCUGAAACUUCCCAAGCUCCCAUUCCAGCAGUUCCUGAAGGAUUCAUUUCUCUCUGAGGAUCUCAUGAGGUGGCUUAGCAGCUAGAAUCUCUUCCUUAACAGUGGGAAGAACAACUCCUGGAAAUUUAGGUCGACUUUGACUGGAUUUAAAAGAAAGCUGUACAAUUCCACUUCUGUAUAUACAACCAAAGGAAAUGAGAUGUGCAUACCCAUGUUCAAUGAAGCAUUAUUCACAAUAGCCAAAAUGUGGAACCAAUCCUUAAACAAAAGGAAAACAGAAAAUCUGCUCAAGUGGGAAGAAACUAACCCUCAUUGAGUGCCUAGUUAACAUCAGGCACUUUGUACACAUAAUCAAUUGAAUCUUGACCACAACCCUGUGAGGUGAAAAAUGAGAAGAUUAAAUAAGCCAUGGGAAGAUUUUUUAAAAUGACAUGAAACUCCAAGGGUAAAAAGUAGGCUGGGAAAUCUUAGGAUGGUGAACCAUCAUGUUUCCUGAAUGUGAAUCCUGUACCUGGUUUGACUGUAGUCACCCCUUCUCCAACACUCUCCACGAUGCCGGCUGCCUCAUGGCCUAAAAUCACAGGAAGUGGGGUCACCAUGGUACCACUAACCACGUGGUCAUCUGUGCCACAGAUUCCUACAGCCACCAUCUACAGAGUGAAGAGAAGAUGUUUAUAAAAGAUUGUGAGUCUCAGGAUGUUCAACAUGAUCAAUGCCAAAUAAAUAUCAGAAUACUUGGAAGUAAAGUACUAAUAGUAGGAGUUCCUGAUUAUCAGGUGCCUAUGAUGUGACAGGCACAUUGUGGCCUGUGCUCGACCAGGAGACUGCUUUUCCAGGCUGAGAUCAAAGACGGAGAUGUGCCUACCCGCAGAUCCUAGAUGGCCAUGUUUGCAACAGAGGUAAUGAUGAGCAGUGCGAAGAUGUGACUCCAAAGCCUGGAGAAGGACAGACCAGCAUCCCUGCAAGAGAUCCAACUGUCUUCUUUUCCGCAGAGGUCCAUAAUUUACAUGGGCCUGACAAAGAAUACUGUAACUUGCAGAAAUUAUCUUCAGUUCAAAUCCUUCAUUUUGGGGGUUAAAUAACUUGGUAAGAUAAUGAGAUUAAUAUUAUUGUAAAGAUUGCUAGAAAGAAUUGUAACAGUUCAUGUAUGUGCAUAAAUAACAACCUUAAAGCAUGUUUUGGGAUGAGGUGCAAAAUGAAAAUUGGGAGAGGGACUUUAGUAGCAGUAAACAGAACUUGAGAAUGGAAUAGAUGCAUACUCUAUAGCACACUGCAAUAAAUAGAAUACAUUUUAAGUUCCUAGAGAAAUUUUUGAAAAUGCCACAUUCAAAGCCAUCAAUCCCUACUCAAUUAGCAUUUCAUUUUGAUUUUGGUACUGAAGCCCAAGAUGUCGAGGGAGCGGAAAUACUUGCUGGUCUUGCAGCGGCUGUGGAGCCUGGAAUCCUGCCAAGAAGAGCAUGUGUGAGAGAUCAAAAUGUUUGCUUACAUUCCUCCUGUGAAGGGAGUUGGGAAAUAACCUAAGAAGCCCAAUCCAAAAACAAAGAUGUACCAUCCAGUCUUCUCUGUGAGAACCAAACUACAAACCAUCUGAAUGUUCCAAAAGUGUUUUGAUGAUGUAUUGAUGUAUUUUAAAUUAUCCUGAAAAUGUUCUUGGCAGAUGCUUAAACAUGUAAUUACUGAGAUGAUGUAGAAAUACCAAGUGUUUAUUAAAACAAUACAGAGUAAUACAAAUGGUAUGUUUGUCGCAAUAUAAAAGUAUCUAAAAAUUAAAGAGUUCUUUAAUGGUGGAGAUUGUUUUCCUUUUUGAAGUUAAAAUAUAAAUUUUUGUAAAAAGCACAAAUUAUUACUAUUUAUAGCUAACAUUUAUGGAGUGCUGACUAUGCUCAUUUUUGAGCAUACAUUGCCUCAUUUAGUGCAAUGUUUAGCAUUAACUUAUGAGGUAAAUGCCAUUGCCAUGCACAUUGUACAGAUGAAGACAUUGAGGUUUAGAGAGAUUGCAU
rnacentral:lncRNA from 10 species